GCGAGGAAGAUUUGGAUGCAAGCACCCAUCUUUCAUGAGAGAGACCUAAGUUGUACAUUUGAAUUCUUCUCUGUUUAUACUCUGCCAAGUUAUCUCAAGCAUAUGAUUUUACUUUGGUACAGGUUGAUUAUAUUACUGGAUGCAUAUGCAUAAAUCAGAGGAUAAGCAGCGGAAGGACAAGUUGUAUUUUUCGAGAUGUUCUCUUCUUCUUUAUUUUACAUGUUAAAGCAUGGACCUUCUUGCUCAGGAAUGAUACAAUCAAUCCAACUGUUACCUUUGGGGUGCUUUUUGGAUGGACUAAUCUGAAGAUGUUGGCUAGCUUGCACCGCCAUCAUAUAAUCUAGAAGCUAGGGCAAGGAUUAUAGGGAAAAUAAAGGCAAUUAGCCAACCGGAGGAAAUGCCAACCAAUACAUUUUUGUACUUCCUCUGUUACAGAGUUCGUUCAGGCCUUAGGGACGCUUUCGAUCACUGUCCAUCAACAAGUUCAACUCCGACAACGGUUCACCGAUAAUGUGGGCCGGUGCACCACGUCAGCAACGUCGACGGCCUGACAGGCCAUUUUCCAACUGGGCCUAUUGUAAAUGACGGGACCAUGAGUUUCUCCUUUUGGAGUUUACUUCUACGAGUGCUCACUCCCUGCAUCUUGUUCUGUUUUUUGUUCUAUUUUUCAGAAAAUGAAGAUGUACUUUGCCGUUCCACUAAUCUCGGCAAAAGAGUAGAUUAUGGUGCCCCUCGUGCUAUAGUGGAAUUGAAUCGCAAAAAACUCUAUAGAUUCAUCAAACAAUGAAGGAGGUUAGUUUUUACCUGAGGGGCAACGACGGCCACCGUGGUCUUGCUGGAGCCUCGCUUGCAGUCGAAAGUCAUCAGCUUCAGGGAGUGCCAGCACAGCCAAAAUAGGCGCCACCUUCGACGGGGAGCAACAGCAGCAACUACGAGGAUUUGCCUAGCCCAUACAAGCAACGGCGGCGACAUACCCGCUUCCGCAGCUCCGAGCUGCUGGUCCGCCGGCGAGCCGUUGCGCCUCCAAGCUGCCGAGCCACCGAGAUGGAAAUGUAGCCGCAGCGCCUCCGAGCUGCAGCGAGAGCCGCUCCGCCGCCAAGCUGCAGAGUGAGCUGCCGUGAAGAUGGAGCCGUGCUUUCUCUCCAGUACGAGUACAAUGGGGAGAGGGGAACGAAUCCAAUGAACUGGUCGAUGGAACCAAGACCAACAGUCAA